rnacentral:rRNA from 1 species
AAUCGAACCCGGAGAUAGCUGGUUCUCCUCGAAAUAGCUUUAGGGCUAGCCUCGAUACAGAUUUGCGGAGGUAGAGCACUGAAUUUCCUAGGGGGCGUCAAAGCCUACCGAAGAAUAUCAAACUCCGAAUGCCGCGUAAUCGAUUAUCGGGAGUCAGACUGCACGAGAUAAGUUGGGCAGUCAAAAGGGAAAGAGCCCAGACCUUCAGUUAAGGUCCCAAAGUGUGCGUUAAGUGGAAAAGGAUGUGGGAUUUCGAAGACAACCAGGAUGUUGGCUCAGAAGCAGCCAUUCAUUCAAAGAGUGCGUAAUAGCUCACUGGUCGAGAGGUCCUGCGCCGAAAAUGUCCGGGGCUGAAACGCGCCACCGAAACUAAGGAACCGAAAGGUUGGUAGAGGAGCAUUGCAUGCGGGAAGAAGCAGUACCGUAAGGAGCUGUGGACUGCAUGGAAGAGAGAAUGCCGGAAUGAGUAGCGAGAUAGAGGUGAGAAUCCUCUAGGCCGAAUAUCCAAGGUUUCCAGGGUAAAGCUGAUCUGCCCUGGGUAAGUCGGGGCCUAAGGUGAGGACGAGAGUCGUAGCCGAUGGACAACAGGUGGAGAUUCCUGUACUAUGAUAUGACAGAACUGUGGGGACACGUGCAGAGAGCGGAAGCCGGGAAUGGGAUCCCGGUGCAAGCGAGGUACCAGUCGCAUUGGAAAAACCGUGCGGCAAUGGGAAGACGUGAUGCGGAGUGAAGUUUAGUAAUGAAGUCCGUGAGCUGUGCGUCAAGAAAAGCCGCUAUUGUUCAUACCAUACCCGUACCGUAAACCGACACAGGUGGAUGAGGAGAGAAUCCUAAGGCCGGCGGAAGAAGCAUUGUCAAGGAACUCGGCAAAAUGACCCCGUAACUUCGGGAGAAGGGGUGCCUGCGAGAGCAGGCCGCAGAGAAUAGGCUCAAGCAACUGUUUAGCAAAAACACAGGUCUAUGCGAAACCGAAAGGUGAGGUAUAUGGGCUGACGCCUGCCCGGUGCUGGAAGGUUAAGAGGAGAGGUUAGCGCAAGCGAAGCUUUGAAUUUAAGCCCCAGUAAACGGCGGCCGUAACUAUAACGGUCCUAAGGUAGCGAAAUUCCUUGUCGGGUAAGUUCCGACCCGCACGAAAGGCGUAAUGAUUUGAGCGCUGUCUCGACAAUGCAUCCGGUGAAAUUGAAGUACCAGUGAAGAUGCUGGUUACCUGCGCCAGGACGGAAAGACCCCAUGGAGCUUUACUCCAGUCUGGUACUGGGACUCGGUAUUGCAUGUACAGGAUAGGUGGGAGGCUAGGAGAUGGUAACGCCAGUUGCCAUGGAGCCGCUGUUGGGAUACCACCCUUGCAGUAUUGGGUUUCUAACCAGCCGCCGUGACCCGGCGGUGGGACAAUGCCAGACGGGGAGUUUGACUGGGGCGGUCGCCUCCGAAAGGGUAUCGGAGGCGCCCAAAGGUUCCCUCAGAAUGGACGGAAACCAUUCGAAGAGUGCAAAGGCAGAAGGGAGCUUGACUGCGACACCGACGGGUGGAGCAGGUACGAAAGUAGGGCUUAGUGAUCCGGUGGUAUUAAGUGGGAAUGCCAUCGCUCAACGGAUAAAAGCUACCCUGGGGAUAACAGGCUUAUCACUCCCAAGAGUUCACAUCGACGGAGUGGUUUGGCACCUCGAUGUCGGCUCAUCGCAUCCUGGGGCUGUAGUAGGUCCCAAGGGUUGGGCUGUUCGCCCAUUAAAGCGGUACGCGAGCUGGGUUCAGAACGUCGUGAGACAGUUCGGUCCCUAUCCGGCGUGGGCGUAGGAUAUCUGAGAGGAGCUGUCCUUAGUACGAGAGGACCGGGAUGGACGGACCGCUGGUGGACCGGUUGGCUUGCCAAAGCCAUGGCCGGGUAGCCAAGUCCGGAAGGGAUAAACGCUGAAGGCAUCUAAGCGUGAAGCCCCCCUCAAGAUGAGAUAUCCCAUCCGAAAGGAGUAAACCCCCUUGA